UCACUCUUGGCGGUGGAUCACUCGGCUCGUGGGUCGAUGAAGAACGCAGCUAGCUGCGAUAAUUAGUGCGAAUUGCAGACACAUUGAGCACUAAAAUUUUGAACGCAAAUUGCGCCGUUGGGUUCAUUCCCAACGGCACGUCUGGCUGAGGGUCGAA
rnacentral:rRNA from 1 species